AUGACACCAUUGACGACGACGUGUUCUCGGCGCGAGCAGCACAACCUCCUCAGCAGCCAUGGCGACAACUGCUACACCAUCGACCGUGGUGUGUUGUGCUUGAUGGGAGCAGCGCGACCUCCUCAGCGCGUCCAUGGCGACGGCUGCGACACCACCGAAGGGGGCGCGUGUUGUUUUCGACAGGAGCACCGCGGCCUCCUUAUCGCCCAUGGCGACAGCUAUGACACCAUCGACGACAGCAAUGUUGCCCCCGAGUCCCGAUGCGAGAAGCGGAACCUCGUCAGCGUCCAUGGCCACUGCUGUGACACCACGUGCUGGAGAGCCAUUUUACUCUCCUCUUCUGUUCAAGCUGGUUCUCCCGGUCGAGAACAUUGGCACGACGCUUGGAUAGUUGAAACCAUCGGCGCAGCGCUUGCGCGGCACCGCGUCGGUGCUUGUCAUUGGCACGGUGAAUACAAGCAGGACGAAUACAUACGUAGACUAGUACUUCCUGCCUUCCGGGUCUAUGGUCUAACAUAUCCACACGGCACAGGGCCAGACUGCCAUCGAUCAACGUCCUGCGGUCCUCCUUGCAUGAAGGAUUAUCAAUCCCCUUUCCCCUCUUCGUCAACCUCCCGCACGGGAAAAAAGGGAGAGGACGAGAACGCGGCCUCCGCCCGCGCCAACCGCCUCGCCUCGUCUUCCGGUUGCAGCACCGCCGCGUGCGCCACCGCCUCGCCUUGUCUUCCCAUUGCAGCGCCACCGCAUGCGCCAUCAUGUUGCCGGCCUGACGCCUCUCGUCGUGCGGCCGUCGGGAUUGCAGCACGGUUACCCGCGAAGAUUCAGCUUCUGCCGUUUGUAGCUCUUCAUUGGCUGGUUCCAACAUGUGGGCGUCGUGGUUGCAGCAGCCCCCGCCAUCGCCGUCUCAGCUCGCCACCAAAACCGGCUUCCACCACCGUGUUCAUCAAAAAGAGCUUCAACAACGAAAAAAGAGGUUUUGCUGGUAGUAGCAAAAACCAAAAACCGUCCCAGCAAAAAUAUAUCUCGGUUCCAGCAAAAAUGCGCCCUCACCAAAGGAAAAGGUGGGGAAAAGAUAGCAGUGUGGUGUGGCUGAGGAUAAGGUGGGGAAAAUGUGUGAUGGGGAAGGCAGCGGUGCAGGGCCACGAGUCAGGUCGCAUGUCGCGAGCGACCGGCCGAAAACUCGGCCUGCGCCCCAGCGUAAAACGUUUCCCAUUCAAAAAACAUGUGGAGGGAAGACGGCGAGCGUGGGAGGAAGGACUAUCCAUCCGGACUCCCCGCGGCCCAUGCAUCCGGAAUUCAUCAGGAUCGACUAAAGAUUACGAUACCAUGGGACAACGGAAGCUCCGUCCUUCCGGGGCCGCCGCCUCCGCAUCUUACUUCCGGAUCAAGAAAGAUCGCCGCCAUUGUUUCUCAAAGAAGAAAAAGAAAAAUCGCCAUCAUCAUCACCACGAAGUCGCCAGCGGCGGCCCAACGGCGUCUCUCUGUGACGACGCCCUCGCCGACAUCUUCACCCGGCUGCCGGGCGCGGCGGCGGUGGUCCGCUGCGCCGCCACGUGCCGGCGCUGGGGCCGCCUCGUGGCCACGAGGGCAGCCGUCAUCUCCUGCUGCCUGCCGCCCCUCGGCCUCUUCCACCAGGAGAAAGAUUGGCCCACCACGCGCGGCAGGGACGCGGCGUCGUCGCCACGGCCGUGUUUUGUCCCGACAGCCUCCGCCGCUCGCUUCCUCUGUGAGGGCCGGGAGCCUUUAGGUGUCGCGGUACCAGAUCAUGGCCACGGGCUCCUCGACCACUCCCGUCCGGUCGCAUGCCGGAACGGCCGCCUCGUUUUGGAGCUCCGUCGCCACCGGCGCCAGGAUCGAGCCACCGACGGCCUCCGGCUCGCCGUGUGUAACCCAAUGACGUCUGACAACAUCGUUCUCAUCCCGCCUUUGGUCUUAGCAGGCAAGAACAAAACGAAGAUACUAAACUACGGCUGCGCGUUGCUCAGCAGCCACGAUCUCUGUCCACCGGGCUGCCGCAACUUCUUCCGUAUUCUGCUCAUCUACAACCACCACCGCGGCGGUGGGCUGUCCACGGUGCUCCGGUGCUACUCCUCGGCCACGGGUCGCUGCCUAGCCGUGGUACACCGCGGGGUGGCAUACUGGGCUCUCGAGCAAGGCGUGUUUGGGGCGCGCCUGGAUCGGACUGACGAGGACCAUAGAAUGGACAUGCACCUGGUGCCGUGUGACACCUCAAAAUUUAGCCCAAAUAACCGCCUGAUGGGCGUCUCAUCGGACAAUCGGCUUUUCUUGAUUGCCUUUCGUGAAAUCGUGCCGAUGAAGCAGAUGGGGAAGCUGAUGGACGUGGCAUACUACCCCCCUGCGAUCAAGCUGCGGUGGUUUGGCGAGAAGAGCGGGAUCUUGUUAUUCACCAUGGGAGAGCGUAGCGGGCACAACGGCACCUACAUGUUGAACCUUCGGGAGGAAGUGGUUGACAAGGUGGCAGGCGAGGGGCACUCUUGGAAGAACCUGCUCGGGUAUGAGAUGGAUAUGGCGGCGUACCUUGCCUCCGUCGGCCAGAGAUCCUUCACUUGA
rnacentral:rRNA from 1 species